AGUCGAGCGGAGUUGAUAAGAAGCUUGCUUCCUUGAUACUUAGCGGCGGACGGGUGAGUAACACGUAGGCAACCUGCCCUCAAGUUUGGGACAACUACCGGAAACGGUAGCUAAUACCGAAUAAUUGUUUUCUUCGCCUGAAGGAAACUGGAAAGACGGAGCAAUCUGUCACUUGGGGAUGGGCCUGCGGCGCAUUAGCUAGUUGGUGAGGUAACGGCUCACCAAGGCGACGAUGCGUAGCCGACCUGAGAGGGUGAUCGGCCACACUGGGACUGAGACACGGCCCAGACUCCUACGGGAGGCAGCAGUAGGGAAUCUUCCGCAAUGGGCGAAAGCCUGACGGAGCAAUGCCGCGUGAGUGAUGAAGGUUUUCGGAUCGUAAAGCUCUGUUGCCAGGGAAGAACGCUUGGGAGAGUAACUGCUCUCAAGGUGACGGUACCUGAGAAGAAAGCCCCGGCUAACUACGUGCCAGCAGCCGCGGUAAUACGUAGGGGGCAAGCGUUGUCCGGAAUUAUUGGGCGUAAAGCGCGCGCAGGCGGUCAUUUAAGUCUGGUGUUUAAUCCCGGGGCUCAACCCCGGAUCGCACUGGAAACUGGGUGACUUGAGUGCAGAAGAGGAGAGUGGAAUUCCACGUGUAGCGGUGAAAUGCGUAGAUAUGUGGAGGAACACCAGUGGCGAAAGCGACUCUCUGGGCUGUAACUGACGCUGAGGCGCGAAAGC
rnacentral:rRNA from 1 species